CAGCCGCCGCGGGAAUACGAAGGGUGCAAGCGUUAAUCGGAAUUACUGGGCGUAAAGCGUGCGUAGGCGGUUUGUUAAGUCUGCUGUGAAAUCCCCGGGCUCAACCUGGGAAUGGCAGUGGAUACUGGCAAGCUAGAGUCUUGUAGAGGGGGGUAGAAUUCCAGGUGUAGCGGUGAAAUGCGUAGAGAUCUGGAGGAAUACCGGUGGCGAAGGCGGCCCCCUGGACAAAGACUGACGCUCAGGUGCGAAAGCGUGGGGAGCAAACAGGAUUAGAUACCCGUGUAGUCCCUGUCUCUUAUAC
rnacentral:rRNA from 1 species